rnacentral:rRNA from 1 species
CCUACGGGUGGCAGCAGUGGGGAAUAUUGCGCAAUGGGCGAAAGCCUGACGCAGCGACGCCGCGUGAGGGAUGAAGGUCUUCGGAUCGUAAACCUCUGUCAGCAGGGAAGAACGGUCACUGUGCUAAUCAGCAGUGAAUUGACGGUACCUGCAAAGGAAGCACCGGCUAACUCCGUGCCAGCAGCCGCGGUAAUACGGAGGGUGCGAGCGUUAAUCGGAAUUACUGGGCGUAAAGCGGUCGUAGGCGGUAUGUCAAGUCAAGGGUGAAAUCCCCGGGCUCAACGUGGGAACUGCCUUUGAAACUGGCAAACUUGAGUGUGUGAGAGGAUAGUGGAAUUCCAGGUGUAGGGGUGAAAUCCGUAGAUAUCUCGAGGAACAUCAGUGGCGAAGGCGACUAACUGGAACAUAACUGACGCUGAGGAGCGAAAGCGUGGGUAGCAAACAGGAUUAGAUACCCCUGUAGUC